rnacentral:rRNA from 1 species
AUUGAACGCUGGCGGCAGGCCUAACACAUGCAAGUCGAGCGGAUGAAGGGAGCUUGCUCCUGGAUUCAGCGGCGGACGGGUGAGUAAUGCCUAGGAAUCUGCCUGGUGGUGGGGGAUAACGUCCGGAGACGGGCGCUAAUACCGCAUACGUCCUGAGGGAGAAAGUGGGGGAUCUUCGGACCUCACGCUAUCAGAUGAGCCUAGGUCGGAUUAGCUAGUUGGUGGGGUAAAGGCCUACCAAGGCGACGAUCCGUAACUGGUCUGAGAGGAUGAUCAGACACACUGGAACUGAGACACGGUCCAGACUCCUACGGGAGGCAGCAGUGGGGAAUAUUGGACAAUGGGCGAAAGCCUGAUCCAGCCAUGCCGCGUGUGUGAAGAAGGUCUUCGGAUUGUAAAGCACUUUUAGUUGGGAGGAAGGGCAGUAAGUUAAUACCUUCCUGUUUUGACGGUACCAACAGAAUAAGCACCGGCUAACUUCGUG